rnacentral:rRNA from 1 species
AGUGAACGCUGGCGGCAUGCCUAAUACAUGCAAGUCGAACGGCAACACAGUAAGAUCUCGCCCCUACGGGUGGCGAGUGGCGGAUGGGUGAGGCAUAGAUCGCAUUCUUCUUUUUCGUGGGGGAUAUCGUAGGGAAACUUCCGCUACUACCGCAUACGAUCUACGGGUUAAAGCAGGGGAUCUUGGCACCUUUCGCGAUUGAUUGAGCCGAUGUCGGACUAGCUAGUUGGCAAGGUAAAGGCCCACCAAGGCGACGAUCCGUAGCUGGUCUGAGAGGAUGAUCGGCCACACUGGAACUGAGACACGGUCCAGACUCCUACGGGAGGCAGCAGUGGGGAAUAUUCGGCAAUGGGCGAAAGCCUGACCCAGCCAUGCCGCGUGGGUGAAGAAGGCCUUCGGGUUGUAAAACCCUUUUAUUAGGGAAGAAAAGCAGCAGGUGUAAACCCCGACGUUUUGACGGUACCCAAAGAAAAAGCACCGGCUAACUUCGUG